UGGGGAAUAUUGCACAAUGGGCGCAAGCCUGAUGCAGCCAUGCCGCGUGUGUGAAGAAGGCCUUCGGGUUGUAAAGCACUUUCAGCGGGGAGGAAGGCGGUGAGGUUAAUAACCUCAUCGAUUGACGUUACCCGCAGAAGAAGCACCGGCUAACUCCGUGCCAGCAGCCGCGGUAAUACGGAGGGUGCAAGCGUUAAUCGGAAUUACUGGGCGUAAAGCGCACGCAGGCGGUCUGUCAAGUCGGAUGUGAAAUCCCCGGGCUCAACCUGGGAACUGCAUUCGAAACUGGCAGGCUAGAGUCUUGUAGAGGGGGGUAGAAUUCCAGGUGUAGCGGUGAAAUGCGUAGAGAUCUGGAGGAAUACCGGUGGCGAAGGCGGCCCCCUGGACGAAGACUGACGCUAAGGUGCGAAAGCGUGGGGAGCAAACAGG
rnacentral:rRNA from 1 species